UACGAAGGGGGCUAGCGUUGCUCGGAAUCACUGGGCGUAAAGGGUGCGUAGGCGGGUCUUUAAGUCAGGGGUGAAAUCCCAGGGCUCAACCCUGGAACUGCCUUUGAUACUGACGAUCUGGAGAUCGGGAGAGGUUGGUGGAAUUCCGAGUGUAGAGGUGAAAUUCGUAGAUAUCAGGAGGAACACCGGUGGUGUAGACGGCUUUCUGGACCGUAACUGACGCUGAGACACGAAAGCGUGGGUAGCAAACAGG
rnacentral:rRNA from 1 species